rnacentral:rRNA from 1 species
GAUGAACGCUGGCGGCGUGCCUAAUACAUGCAAGUCGAGCGAACAGACGAGGAGCUUGCUCCUUUGACGUUAGCGGCGGACGGGUGAGUAACACGUGGAUAACCUACCUAUAAGACUGGGAUAACUUCGGGAAACCGGAGCUAAUACCGGAUAACAUGUUGAACCGCAUGGUUCAACAGUGAAAGACGGUCUUGCUGUCACUUAUAGAUGGAUCCGCGCCGCAUUAGCUAGUUGGUAAGGUAACGGCUUACCAAGGCAACGAUGCGCAGCCGACCUGAGAGGGUGAUCGGCCACACUGGAACUGAGACACGGUCCAGACUCCUACGGGAGGCAGCAGUAGGGAAUCUUCCGCAAUGGGCGAAAGCCUGACGGAGCAACGCCGCGUGAGUGAAGAAGGUCUUCGGAUCGUAAAACUCUGUUAUUAGGGAAGAACAAAUGUGUAAGUAACUAUGCACGUCUUGACGGUACCUAAUCAGAAAGCCACGGCUAACUACGU